UAGGGAAUAUUGCGCAAUGGGCGAAAGCCUGACGCAGCGACGCCGCGUGGGUGAUGAAGGCCUUCGGGUCGUAAAGCCCUGUCGAGGGGAAAGAAACGGUGCCGACCCAACACGUCGGUGCCCUGACGGUACCCCUAAAGGAAGCACCGGCUAACUCCGUGCCAGCAGCCGCGGUAAUACGGAGGGUGCGAGCGUUGUUCGGAAUCACUGGGCGUAAAGGGCGUGUAGGCGGUCCGCUAAGUCUGAUGUGAAAGCCCGGGGCUCACCCCCGGAAGGGCAUUGGAAACUGACGGACUCGAGUCCCGAAGAGGAGGGUGGAAUUCCUGGUGUAGCGGUGAAAUGCGUAGAUAUCAGGAGGAACACCGGUGGCGAAGGCGGCCUCUGGACGGUGACUGACGCUGAGCGCGAAAGCGUGGGGAGCAAACAGGAUUAGGAUACCCGUGGUAGUCCACGCCGUAAACGAUGAGCACUAGGUGUCGUGAGUAUU
rnacentral:rRNA from 1 species